rnacentral:rRNA from 1 species
AUUGAACGCUGGCGGCAUGCCUUACACAUGCAAGUCGAACGGUAACAGGUCUUCGGAUGCUGCCGAGUGGCGAACGGGUGAGUAAUACAUCGGAACGUGCCCGAUCGUGGGGGAUAACGAGGCGAAAGCUUUGCUAAUACCGCAUACGAGCUACGGGUGACAGCGGGGGAUCUUCGGACCUCGCGCGGACGGAGCGGCCGAUGGCAGAUUAGGUAGUUGGUGGGAUAAAGGCUUACCAAGCCGACGAUCUGUAGCUGGUCUGAGAGGAUGAUCAGCCACACUGGGACUGAGACACGGCCCAGACUCCUACGGGAGGCAGCAGUGGGGAAUUUUGGACAAUGGGCGAAAGCCUGAUCCAGCCAUGCCGCGUGCAGGAUGAAGGCCUUUGGGUUGUAAACUGCUUUUGUACGGAACGAAAAGCCUCUUGCUAAUAAAGAGGGGUCAUGACGGUACCGUAAGAAUAAGCACCGGCUAACUACGUG